CAAUAGAGAAAUAUCAUGUUGAAAACACCAGUUCUCAUCUAAUUACCGAAGUUAAGCAACAUCAAGCCUAGUUAGUACUUAGAUGGGUGACUGCUUGGGAAGCCUAGGUGUUGUAAAUGU
rnacentral:rRNA from 1 species